rnacentral:rRNA from 1 species
GAUUUCUGGCUUGAAACAUUUGGCCGGCCACGGUUUCGUGUGUUAGUGCUUUGUGUUCUGGCCAUCCUUCCAAUGGCUGCUUGCUUUUCUUCAUUGAUUGGUGAGUGGUAUUGGAUCUUUUACUUUGAAAAAAUUAGAGUGUUUCAAGCAGGCUUUAUGCUAUGAAUACAUUAGCAUGGAAUAAUAAUUUAGGACUUCGGUUCUAUUUUGUUGGUUUCUAGGACUGAAGUAAUGAUUGAUAGGGAUAGUUGGGGGUGCUAGUAUUCAGCGGCCAGAGGUGAAAUUCUCGGAUUCGCUGAAGACUAACUUAUGCGAAAGCAUU